rnacentral:rRNA from 1 species
UACGAAGGGGGCUAGCGUUGCUCGGAAUCACUGGGCGUAAAGGGUGCGUAGGCGGGUCUUUUAAGUCAGGGGUGAAAUCCUGGAGCUCAACUCCAGAACUGCCUUUGAUACUGAAGAUCUUGAGUCCGGGAGAGGUGAGUGGAACUGCGAGUGUAGAGGUGAAAAUUCGUAGAUAUUCGCAAGAACACCAGUGGCGAAGGCGGCUCACUGGCCCGGUACUGACGCUGAGGCACGAAAGCGUGGGGAGCAAACAGGG